rnacentral:misc_RNA from 1 species
AACGCACGAGACCUGCGGACCUGCGGAAGGAUCAUCAUUGCUAACAACGUCCCAAGCUUUCUGGGGGGGAAGGGAGGAGAAGGAGAGAAAUUUUCUUUUUCUUUCUUUUUUUCCUGGCUUGGGCUUUACAAACAACUUUGAUACCCAAAAAGAGUCCUCUAUCUCUUUGGUUUUCAGCUUGUUUUAUAUGAGUUGAUGGGAUGGCUGAAGGGAGAAAAGGAAAGAAACAUAUGUGGUUGC